GUUUUCUCAGGCUGCCGCUGCUCCCGCUGAUGGAGUGAGCUGUAAGAUGACCCAGGAACCAGCUGGAGCUGCAAAUAGAUGAGCACUUUGUUGGCCACCUCUGCACUUCUCAAGGACUCUCUAAUUGUGUAUUCCGCCCUUCUCCAUCUGUGCUGCAUUCAACCGGCCGGACCAUUGUACCCUUCCGAAGGAUAUCGCAGAUCUGGUUACUGCAUAAGCAAUACCACUCCCUAUAUUGGAGAUCUACGCGCUGCUCUGCGAGGCCUCACUCUGCAAUCCGCUCGCUGGCUUUAAGAUAACGCCUUGGAGGAGAAGUUCGGUCUAUACGUGGAGAUCUGGCUCAUUGGCCCAGGAAACAUGGCCUGAAUCACAGGGGCCGGGGUGCACCAGCUGGUGUAAAGGCAACCCACCUUUUCCUGUCCUGGCAUCUGAAGGACACCCAAGGGAGCAAGACGUCACCAUCACCGCAGCCGUCUACCGCUGCCACCAUCAUCAGCACUAACAUCACCAUCAUGUGUGAAAGAGAGCUUCCACAGACUGAUACGGAUUGACCUGUUUGACCUGUGACCCUUUAAAAGGAAGCAAUGCCAACUUGUGACCCUUCGCCACGUCUACCAGUUGGGAGCAGUUCACGGGAGCCGGUAACCUGUCCCUAUUGGUGGAACUCAACACCAGACCGUUCGUGGAGGACUGGCUCCCAUCGAGGUGAUGGCUACUGGCAAGAUGUGACGUGAAUAGCAGGCUGUUUAUUCAAGGAGUGAUGCCUGGGAGCUUCAAGCAACAAUUCUCCUCCAAGAGGGAAGAAAUGGAGAGCCUAUACCUCCCCUGAACCAAGGUGUGAUUCAAAUGCAGCUUGUCUUUUCCUCAUGAGAAAGAUGAAUUUAACAGCAGUAGAAUAUGGGUGUUAGGCCAACAUAUCAUCAACUGAGGGGGUAAAUAGAUUAAAAACUGCAGUCAUUUGCCAAGUAUAGUGUUUUUAGAAACAAUUGAAGAGUCCAUGUAGAAUCCAAAACAUACAAAUUGUAACCCCUAAGUUGACAUGUGUUUCUAAUCCUAAGCAAAUAGCUGACACCCACUCCUCUUGGAGAUGAAAGCAAGAUGGGGUUCAUUAAUUCACUGUCUCUUGUAGAAAAUAAACUUAAUAAAAACAAAAAAUAUUUCAAAAGAAAAUGCUCUCUUCAAAAAGACAAAAAUACUAUUCACAGAAUGUUCCACCAAAUAACUACUUUAAAGAGGUUGUUAAGUGUUGCAAAAUUGUCACUGGGCCUUAAAGUAACAUGCAUGUAUUACCAGUUGUAUUUUAACUGUACUUUAGUUGUACUUUAAGAAUAAACCUGCUUUAAACAUAAUGAAUGUGAAAUAUGAAAUAUCAACAUAACAGUAAAG